ACCAGGCUGGCCUCGAACUCACAGAGAUCUGCCUGCCUCUGCCUCCCAUGUGCUGGGAUUAAAGGCGUUCGCCACCAACGCCCGGCCAAAAUACGGAUCUUAGAAAUAUUUGUUUUGUUCAGGUUUUGUAUUACUUGAAAUGUUAGUCAUUUUUUACUAGGUCAUGUAUGGAAUCUUAUUUUACGUCCCUUAGUAGGUGAACAGAUUUGUGGUAGAUUCAAAAUGCAAUGUUCUUGCUUAACUUGAGUAGUAACUGUCCUUUAUUACUGAAUUGGGGUUCUUGUAGGCUUAUGACCCCUUCGAACUUCCCUUUUACAUAAUUAUAAAGACUAUUUAUAAUCUACUAGGUAAGUGUUAGGAGAUAUUCCUGAAGUGUGAAACUAUGAAAUAACAUCCUGAAAAUGUACCGAGGCCUUUGUAUUCUGCUACAAAAUCUGGAUACUUCACAAGACUCAGAAUCAUUUCUGCUGCGUCCAGACAGAUGGCUGUCGCUCUGCGGCCUGUCCUGACAGACCAGAGUCCCCUGCGGAGAAGAGACGCUCAGCUGAGGACCUGCUCCCCUCAGGUUAGACGGAUGAAGGAGGACCCAGAAUAUCAUGGGCAGCGCUGCCCCUGGAGGGAGCCCUGGGGCUCGUGAGAAAGCAGGCAGAGGAAAUUAGCAAGCAGCACUCCGCCAUGACACCUGCUUCAGUCCUGCCUCCAAGUUCUUGCUUGGCUUUCUGCCUGGGCCUCCCCUGAUGACUGACUACAACCUGCAACCCAUAAGCCAGAUAAACCCUUUUUUUUUCUGAAAGGUGCUUUUGGUCAGCUACUUUUACCACAGUAACUGAGACAGAAUUGGUACCAGAAGUGGGUUGGUGGCGCUGAAGAGGCAUGAGCUUGGGCAUCUGGUCCCCCGCUGGUGUGUGUCACUGGGGCAGCGUGGAGACUAUAGUGUCUCCCUGACCCCGCCCCUGCUUUGUGUACUCUGUAAAAAGACAUAAUCUCCGCUUCCUGCCUGCUGCUCCCCCAUUGAAUUCCCCAUUGUUAUUGACUGCUAUCUCUCUCUGGAACCAUAAGCCCAAAUAAAACUCUUCCUUAAGUA